GGGGGUAUGACCCAGUGGUAGAGCACUUGCCCAACAUGCAUGAGGCCCUGGGUUCAGUUCCUAGCACUCCCC
rnacentral:tRNA from 1 species